rnacentral:rRNA from 1 species
UACGGAAGGCAGCAGUAGGGAAUCUUCCGCAAUGGACGAAAGUCUGACGGAGCAACGCCGCGUGAACGAUGAAGGCUUUCGGGUCGUAAAGUUCUGUUGUUAGGGAAGAACAAGUACCAGAGUAACUGCUGGUACCUUGACGGUACCUAACCAGAAAGCCACGGCUAACUACGUGCCAGCAGCCGCGGUAAUACGUAGGUGGCAAGCGUUGUCCGGAAUUAUUGGGCGUAAAGCGCGCGCAGGUGGUCCUUUUAAGUCUGAUGUGAAAGCCCACGGCUCAACCGUGGAGGGUCAUUGGAAACUGGGGGACUUGAGUGCAGAAGAGGAAAGUGGAAUUCCACGUGUAGCGGUGAAAUGCGUAGAGAUGUGGAGGAACACCAGUGGCGAAGGCGACUUUUCUGGUCUGUAACUGACACUGAGGCGCGAAAGCGUGGGGAGCGAACAGGGAUUAGGAUACCCGU